GAAAGGCAUGCAAAAUGUUGCAAAAAUAUAUACAUAUAGUAUAUAAAAUGGUAAUGUUUUACGCGCCUUAA
rfam:Drosophila ananassae strain TSC#14024-0371.13 Ctg01_19759, whole genome shotgun sequence.